GUAAGUGAUUUGUUUUUUUAAUGUUUUCAAGUAUGAAUGAAGUUUUUAACAACUUUUUUGCUUAUUUUUUAUUUGAAUUAUUUUUUUGAUUAAAAAUUAUUGGUUAAAGUAUUACAAAGAUAAGUCUUCGGAAAUUUUGUUUUAAAUUUUAAAGUUUUUGUUUUUAAUUUUUUCUUGGGGAUGGAUUUUAAGAAAAUUUUAUACUAUUUUUAUUUUUAAAAAUUA
rnacentral:rRNA from 1 species